AAUGUAUAAAGUUAUAAUCAUCCAUUCAUUUGAUUGAAAGUUAAAGCACAAAUAAUAUUGUUCAAAAGUUUAUACAUAUUUUAAAAUUAAAACAAAUAAAAAAUUCAUAAAUCCCUAAUCAAGUUUAAAAUUACAACAUAUAAUUGUUCAAAAGUUCAUCAUCAAUUUCAUAUAAUCCAAAGACACGCUUGAAGAUCCUUAUCACCGCAUCCAUUGUAGGGGAAAAGCUGUCUCUGUCUCUUCCUUCCCGGAUACAAGUACCUAUGAGAAAUAUAAAAAAAAUUUAACCAAAUUAAAUAUAGAACAGAAACUAAUACACAAAUAUAUAAAGGUCAUCAUCAAAGGAAAAGAUACGAAAGAGUAGAUUUGCAUGCAUACAUUUCUCAUUUGAACAACAACAUAUAGAGCAACUAAACUAUAGAGUUCGUUUCCAUUCACUCUUAAUAGGAAACUAAAUAACAUUCUAGGCACAUACGCAUGAAGAUUCAAUAUAGGGGUCACACUGAUAAUCCACAUGGACAAAUAUAAAAAGAAACACUUUGACAUGGACUGAAAGACACAAACAACUUAGUAAUGAAGUUACGAUAAAAUUGAAGUUGCACAACGAAAGCAAAUAUAAAACCCAAAAUAUAACACCAACCAAAACACGCAUUCAAUGUGACGAAGGCAUAAAUAAAGCAGAAUGUGAAGAACACAAUGAAAAGAAAUAGACCUGACAAAAAACUGAAAUUUGUGCUUAGCUUUUCUCUAUCCUUUCACGGUCCAGACAAUCAAUAACAUAUAUAUCUGCAUAUAUUUAUUAAUUUGGCAACAAUAGACUUGUAUCAUAAUUUUUCAGCUCAAUUGGAUAAAUGAAUGGUUGUAGUAGAAGGAAAAAUUCACAAGUUCCAAAAUUCACAAAGUUGUAUUUUCAUUAAGAUAAAAUGUAUAAAACCAUGAAAACUAAUUCCUACCAAACCAUCACAGUUGUUGAAAUAGUGCCUCAAAAGUGCUCUUAAUUUCUUUGACCCUGCAACAUCCCAAACUGUGAAAACAACAUUCUUAUGCUGAAUCUUCUCCACAUUAAAACAUGCAAAAAGGUAAAAUUUAUAAGCCUUGAACAAAAUACCAAUAGUUCAGUUCUUUCUAAUUUUUCUUCUACUAAACUAAAAUGUUAACAAGAUUUCUCUAGUCAAUUCACACAAGUGCUAAUAGAUAUUUGUCCAUUUCAAUUACGAACAAAUUUAAAUAGACAUAGAAACAAAAAUAUGUAGAUAAUUGACAAGUAACUAUUUGCAUCCUUUGGGUAUCAAGAUCGAAUGGCUUAAUUAGCUUAUACCAAGAAAUCUGCCUAAAAUAAUUAAAUUAUGAAAUUAUAAUGAAACCCAACAAUUGUAGGUACAGUAGAUAAAAUUCUCCAAUAUGGAGCUUGUACAUUAUGGUAGUUUUGCUAGCAUCACCACCUAAACCAAGAAAAUGUUUUAAAAAGUGUAAAUACGAAACUCAUCUAAAAUUGAUGAAGAAUUUCAUCAUCUCUUUUGCUGAUUAAUCAUGACGAUAACAGGAUGUUAAAGCAAACUAUUCAAAAUCAAACAAUUGAAACAAGACCAAACAUACAAAGAAUGACAUGUAUUAACCUAAACAAAUAUUAUAUAAUAAAACAGAAAAAGAAAACAUUGAAACCACAACAUAAUGAAGAACAAUACCUUAUCCACAUUCGAUAAUAAUAGGAAGAGUAAACAAUCUCAUGAGAAUGCAAAACUGAAAAAUGCAGAAUAAAAUUAAAAAUUAAGAGUAAUCAAGGAAUUGAAAUUUUCCAUGAUUUGUUAUACCCUUAUUACAACGAAAACCCUAUUUAUCUCUUUAAACAAGGUAGCAAAAACGAUUGUAGGAUGGAACUGAUGUAGAUUCAUUCUACUUCUCUAAUACCCACAAUACAUGUCUCCAACUAAAUGUAGCGGGCACAUUGUGUACGACGUCGUGUAUGAACAAAGAAACAAAUCUAAAAUCGAAGUUUACCUCUCCACAUCAUCUAUGAAGGAAGGAAUGAGUGACGACCUGCGAAAGCUGACGGUGAGGAUUCGUGGUCAUUUAUGAAGGUGACGAUUACGCAAUUUCGAUGACAGGGAUAGGGUUCAAACAAAAAAAUUUGCAAUGAGUUUCAGAGAAAGAAACCAUUUGCAAUGAGGUUCAAAGAGAUGAUUCAAAUGUUUUGGGAAUGAUAGAGUCUGAUACUUAGGGUUUGGGAAUCAAAGGGUUUGAAAUUUACAAAGGUUUCAGAGUUACAAAGGUUUUUAGAAUGAAAGUUUGACGAAAUUUUGUUGGAUUCCAAAUAAUUUUUUUUGGAGGGAAAUAACUUUUGGGGAGAAGAG
rnacentral:lncRNA from 1 species